rnacentral:rRNA from 1 species
CUACGGGGUGCACCAGUGGGGAAUAUUGCACAAUGGGGGAAACCCUGAUGCAGCAACGCCGCGUGAGUGAAGAAGGCUUUCGAGUCGUAAAGCUCUGUCCUAUGGGAAGAAUAGAUGACGGUACCAUAGGAGGAAGCCCCGGCUAACUACGUGCCAGCAGCCGCGGUAAUACGUAGGGGGCAAGCGUUAUCCGGAAUCAUUGGGCGUAAAGGGUGCGUAGGCGGCCAGACAAGUCAGAGGUGAAAGGCUACGGCUUAACCGUAGUAAGCCUUUGAAACUGUUUGGCUUGAGUGCAGGAGAGGAAAGUGGAAUUCCUAGUGUAGCGGUGAAAUGCGUAGAUAUUAGGAGGAACACCAGUGGCGAAGGCGACUUUCUGGACUGUAACUGACGCUGAGGCACGAAAGCGUGGGGAGCGAACAGGAUUAGAUACCCUUGUAGUC